rnacentral:rRNA from 1 species
UACGUAGGGGGCGAGCGUUUGUCCGGAUUUAUUGGGCGUAAAGAGCUCGUAGGCGGUUUGGCAAGUCGGGUGUGAAAACUCCGGCUCAACUCGGAGACGCCACUCGAUACUGCCAUGACUCGAGUCCGGUAGGGGAGUGGCGGAAUUCCUGGUGUAGCGGUGAAAUGCGCAGAUAUCAGGAGGAACACCGGUGGCGAAGGCGGCACUCUGGGCCGGUACUGACGCUGAGGAGCGAAAGCGUGGGGAGCGAACAGG